GGGUGAGUCGACCCCUAAGGCGAGGCCGAAAGGCGUAGUCGAUGGGAAACAGGUUAAUAUUCCUGUACUUGGUGUUACUGCGAAGGGGGGACGGAGAAGGCUAUGUUGGCCGGGCGACGGUUGUCCCGGUUUAAGCGUGUAGGCUGGUUUUCCAGGCAAAUCCGGAAAAUCAAGGCUGAGGCGUGAUGACGAGGCACUACGGUGCUGAAGCAACAAAUGCCCUGCUUCCAGGAAAAGCCUCUAAGCAUCAGGUAACAUCAAAUCGUACCCCAAACCGACACAGGUGGUCAGGUAGAGAAUACCAAGGCGCUUGAGAGAACUCGGGUGAAGGAACUAGGCAAAAUGGUGCCGUAACUUCGGGAGAAGGCACGC
rnacentral:rRNA from 1 species